UUACAGGUGACGGUAAUGAAGCCCAGCGAUCAAGUAGUUUCCUGGAACCCACAUGACUGAUGAACACACAGCUGCUGCGACGCUCUCAAGAGGCCCACAAGUCGACUUCAUCCAAAGGAAUGACUGUGCUAUUUUUGCUCUUUCCCUCACAUUAUUUCCCAAGGCUUGAGGGAAUUUAAAUGUGACUUACUUGGCAGUGACAAGCCUCUGUCCCCUUGGUGCCUCCCGAAUGAGAUCAUUUACACAAGUCACUUCACCAUAGCUCAUUCUAUUUCUUCAUAGAGAGAUAGUAUCACUUAAAUGGAAUCUGGAUAUUGAGAAAGGAGAGUUAUUUUUCUCCUUAAAAUGACUGUAUUAGAACAAUUCACUGAUAUUUGUAAUAUUGGUAUGAUUGGUCCUUCACAUCCAUGCAUAAGCAGAAUCUUCCUAAAGUUCAUGAAAAUGCAUAUAAUAGAAAAACUGCACACAUUUUAAAAUUUUUUUACAGAAUAAUAAAAUUAUUUCUCCCUUCCUUUCCUUUCCCCCGCAACAUUCUGUUUGACAUACCCUCAUAUGUUAAGACACCAAACCUUUGAAAAAGGAACUUAGUAUUGGAAAUGAAGAACUUGACACUCUUGAGAAGAAAACUUCUGGAAUCACCAGAAUUUGAAUGCAGCUCUUUGCUGUCUUGGUUCAGAGUGUAAUCCCUUCCCUCCCUGUGCUCCUCAAGAUCCUCUGCCUUAAUGAGUGAAACCAAAAGCAACAACACAUCUUAUACAUUACUAUAUUUUAUUAUGUAGUAGAAUGUUGAGACAAGCUAUUGUAUUAUAAUCAUACACAAUUAAU